rnacentral:rRNA from 1 species
AUGAACGCUGGCGGCGUGCUUAACACAUGCAAGUCGAACGGGAAAUAUUUCAUUGAGCCUUCGGUGGAUUUGAUUUAUUUCUAGUGGCGGACGGGUGAGUAACGCGUGGGUAACCUGCCUUAUACAGGGGGAUAACAGUCAGAAAUGGCUGCUAAUACCGCAUAAGCGCACAGAGCUGCAUGGCUCAGUGUGAAAAACUCCGGUGGUAUAAGAUGGACCCGCGUUGGAUUAGCUAGUUGGUGGGGUAACGGCCCACCAAGGCGACGAUCCAUAGCCGGCCUGAGAGGGUGAACGGCCACAUUGGGACUGAGACACGGCCCAGACUCCUACGGGAGGCAGCAGUGGGGAAUAUUGCACAAUGGGGGAAACCCUGAUGCAGCGACGCCGCGUGAAGGAAGAAGUAUCUCGGUAUGUAAACUUCUAUCAGCAGGGAAGAUAGUGACGGUACCUGACUAAGAAGCCCCGGCUAACUACGUG